rnacentral:rRNA from 1 species
GACGGGGACCCGCACAAGCGGUGGAGCAUGUGGUUUAAUUCGAAGCAACGCGAAGAACCUUACCAAAUCUUGACAUCCUUUGACUCUUCUAGAGAUAGAAGUUUCCCCUUCGGGGGACAAAGUGACAGGUGGUGCAUGGUUGUCGUCAGCUCGUGUCGUGAGAUGUUGGGUUAAGUCCCGCAACGAGCGCAACCCUUAAGCUUAGUUGCCAUCAUUAAGUUGGGCACUCUAAGUUGACUGCCGGUGACAAACCGGAGGAAGGUGGGGAUGACGUCAAAUCAUCAUGCCCCUUAUGAUUUGGGCUACACACGUGCUACAAUGGACAAUACAAAGGGCAACGAAACCGCGAGGUCAAGCAAAUCCCAUAAAGUUGUUGUCAGUUCGGAUUGUAGUCUGCAACUCGACUACAUGAAGCUGGAAUCGCUAGUGAUCGUAGAUCAGCAUGCUACGGUGAAUACGUUCC